CUCCCCCAAGAGUCCACAUCGACGGGGAGGUUUGGCACCUCGAUGUCGGCUCAUCACAUCCUGGGGCUGUAGUAGGUCCCAAGGGUUGGGCUGUUCGCCCAUUAAAGUGGUACGCGAGCUGGGUUCAGAACGUCGUGAGACAGUUCGGUCCCUAUCCGUCGCAGGCGUAGGAAAUUUGAGAAGACCUGUCCUUAGUACGAGAGGACCGGGAUGGACGUACCUCUGGUGUACCAGUUGUUCUGCCAAGGGCAUGGCUGGGUAGCUAUGUACGGAAUGGAUAAGCGCUGAAAGCAUCUAAGCGCGAAGCCAACUUCAAGAUAAGAUUUCCCACCGCAAGGGUAAGACCCCAGAAAGACUAUCUGGUUGAUAGGUCGAAGGUGUAAGUGCAGCAAUGUAUUUAGCUUAUCGAUACUAAUAGGUCGAGGACUUGACCAAU
rnacentral:rRNA from 1 species